rnacentral:lncRNA from 1 species
CUUUUUAGAUCCACCAAUAAGCCCUUCUGCUGCUACAUUUUACAGGGUAGAAUUAGCUAUGGAAAAUUUAUGAACUGCUUAUCCCUACUCAACGUCAACCUCAACUUCAACCCAAGACCAGACCUGUUCACAUUUGAUCUGUGGCCUGCUUGAAAAGGAGGAGUUGAACUGAACCCACACGGACCUUAAAUUGAGUCAUCGCCAUCGGCAAGUGCAAUCCGCACUUCCGUUCGGAGGGGCCAUUCCAGGGCCACUUGGUAUGCCUGCAUCGUUCGCCCGGAGACGUCGUUCGACGUAGUUCGCUCAUAAAUUUUGCAUUUGCUGUGUGAUUUUCCUUUUUAGACGCGACAAGAUUUCACUGAUUUUGUAUAUAAUUCUCGUACUCGUACCUACGUAUGCCUCUGGUCUCUUGUCUGCUUAUAAUAAUAUCAAUACAUAAACAUUCUACACAUUUGGUUCUUAACGUUGUUGUUGUUGCUGCUGCCGUUGUACUUGUAUCACAGGUCCGCCAUCAAUCACGUAAUUCCCAGCGUGUUUUGUAGCCCGUCCAUCUAUAUCUUGGCACUGUAUCUUCUCACAGCGCGAACAAAGACAGUGCCAAAAACAAAAACAAAAAGGCAAAGCAGCGCAACAAACAC